rnacentral:rRNA from 1 species
GACGAACGCUGGCGGCGUGCUUAACACAUGCAAGUCGAACGGGAAGGCCCUGCUUUUGUGGGGUGCUCGAGUGGCGAACGGGUGUGUAACACGUGAGUAUCCUGUCCUUGACUUUGGGAUAACUUCAGGAAACUGGGGCUAAUACCGGAUAGGAGCUCCUGCUGCAUGGUGGGGGUUGGAAAGUUUCGGCGGUUGGGGAUGGACUCGCGGCUUAUCAGCUUGUUGGUGGGGUAGUGGCUUACCAAGGCUUUGACGGGUAGCCGGCCUGAGAGGGUGACCGGCCACAUUGGGACUAAGAUACGGCCCAGACUCCUACGGGAGGCAGCAGUGGGGAGUAUUGCACAAUGGGCGGAAGCCUGAUGCAGCAACGCCGCGUGCGGGAUGACGGCCUUCGGGUUGUAAACCGCUUUCGCCUGUAACGAAGCGUGAGUGACGGUAAUGAAUAAAGAAGCACCGGCUAACUACGUG